rnacentral:rRNA from 1 species
AUUGAACGCUGGCGGCAGGCUUAACACAUGCAAGUCGAGCGGGGAGAUGUAGCUUGCUACAUUUCCUAGCGGCGGACGGGUGAGUAAUGCUUAGGAAUCUGCCUAUUAGUGGGGGACAACAUUCCGAAAGGAAUGCUAAUACCGCAUACGCCCUACGGGGGAAGGCAGGGGAUCUUCGGACCUUGCGCUAAUAGAUGAGCCUAAGUCAGAUUAGCUAGUUGGUGGGGUAAAGGCCUACCAAGGCGACGAUCUGUAGCGGGUCUGAGAGGAUGAUCCGCCACACUGGGACUGGGACACGGCCCAGACUCCUACGGGAGGCAGCAGUGGGGAAUAGUGGACAAUGGGCGCAAGCCUGAUCCAGCCAUGCCGCGUGUGUGAAGAAGGCCUUUUGGUUGUAAAGCACUUUAAGCGAGGAGGAGGCUACCUGGAUUAAUACUCUAGGAUAGUGGACGUUACUCGUAGAAUAAGCACCGGCUAACUCUGUGCCAGCCGCCGCAGUAA